rnacentral:rRNA from 2 species
UGGUGGGUAGUUUGACUGGGGCGGUCUCCUCCUAAAGAGUAACGGAGGAGCACGAAGGUUGGCUAAUCCUGGUCGGACAUCAGGAGGUUAGUGCAAUGGCAUAAGCCAGCUUGACUGCGAGCGUGACGGCGCGAGCAGGUGCGAAAGCAGGUCAUAGUGAUCCGGUGGUUCUGAAUGGAAGGGCCAUCGCUCAACGGAUAAAAGGUACUCCGGGGAUAACAGGCUGAUACCGCCCAAGAGUUCAUAUCGACGGCGGUGUUUGGCACCUCGAUGUCGGCUCAUCACAUCCUGGGGCUGAAGUAGGUCCCAAGGGUAUGGCUGUUCGCCAUUUAAAGUGGUACGCGAGCUGGGUUUAGAACGUCGUGAGACAGUUCGGUCCCUAUCUGCCGUGGGCGCUGGAGAAUUGAGGGGGGCUGCUCCUAGUACGAGAGGACCGGAGUGGACGCAUCACUGGUGUUCGGGUUGUCAUGCCAAUGGCACUGCCCGGUAGCUAAAUGCGGAAGAGAUAAGUGCUGAAAGCAUCUAAGCACGAAACUUGCCCCGAGAUGAGUUCUCCCUGACUCCUUGAGAGUCCUGAAGGAACGUUGAAGACGACGACGUUGAUAGGCCGGGUGUGUAAGCGCAGCGAUGCGUUGAGCUAACCGGUACUAAUGAACCGUGAGG